GAAAAAAUUAAUGAAAUUUUGUUGGACUCUGUAACAACUAGUUGGAGUGGUUAAUCUGUUCCUUUACAUGAUAAUGUAUACUCAGAUGCAUCUUGUAAGGUGCUAUUGCAAGUUUCCAAAUACAUGCAAAGUAAAACUGUUGGCGACAUGGCACAUGUAUUAAAGUCUUCUGUGACAGUUGACUCAGCAAGAAUGAAGACAUUGAUACACUUUUUCAUUAUGGAAUACACAAGUUGGCAGUUCCUCGCCCACUGCCACUCCCAAAUACAGGUAUAAGAAAUCCUUAUAACGUAACAGACGAUCGAGACGAAGUGAUUAUUAUGUGUGGCAAAAGAUUAUUUUAUGAAGCUUUUUAUUUUCUGACUUCGUGAUGGAACUUAUUGGAGUACAAUUUUUUUGGACAUAGGAAGAGCAUUGCCGCUGCAAGCAUGAACAAUAAUAAAACAUUCCAAAGAAUAAUUUGUUAUUUUAACGAUUAGAUUUGUUGUUUGAAUGUAUAAAUGCUUGUUGAAUAUUUUUAUCAUAUAUCAUCCUAAUUUCAAAA
rnacentral:lncRNA from 1 species